ensembl:rRNA predicted gene, 24189
GUCUGCAGCCAUACACUACACUGAACACAUCCAAGCUUGUUUGUUCCUGGAGGCCAAGCAGGGUUGGGCCCACUUAGUGCUUGCAUGGCAGUCA